UACGAAGGGGGGCUAGCGUUGCUCGGAAUCACUGGGCGUAAAGGGUGCGUAGGCGGGUCUUUAAGUCAGGGGUGAAAUCCUGGAGCUCAACUCCAGAACUGCCUUUGAUACUGAAGAUCUUGAGUGCGGGAGAGGUGAGUGGAACUGCGAGUGUAGAGGUGAAAUUCGUAGAUAUUCGCAAGAACACCAGUGGCGAAGGCGGCUCACUGGCCCGAUACUGACGCUGAGGCACGAAAGCGUGGGUAGCAACAGG
rnacentral:rRNA from 1 species